GGUAGCUCAGUGGUAAAGCGCUUGGCUGCUAACCGAGAGGUCGGUGGUUGAAACCCACCAGCCA
rnacentral:tRNA from 1 species